UACGAAGGGGGCUAGCGUUGUUCGGAAUUACUGGGCGUAAAGCGCGCGUAGGCGGUGAUCUUUGUCAGAGGUGAAAGCCCGGGGCUCAACUCCGGAAUUGCCUUUGAAACGGGAUCGCUUGAGUCCGAGAGAGGAUGGCGGAAUUCCGAGUGUAGAGGUGAAAUUCGUAGAUAUUCGGAAGAACACCAGUGGCGAAGGCGACUUACUGGACACAUAUUGACGCUGAGGUGCGAAAGCGUGGGGAGCAAACAGG
rnacentral:rRNA from 1 species